rnacentral:rRNA from 1 species
UAGUGGCGAACGGGUGAGUAACACGUGGGCAAUCUGCCCUUCACUCUGGGACAAGCCCUGGAAACGGGGUCUAAUACCGGAUAAUACCUGCCUGGGCAUCUGGGUGGGUUGAAAGCUCCGGCGGUGAAGGAUGAGCCCGCGGCCUAUCAGCUUGUUGGUGAGGUAGUGGCUCACCAAGGCGACGACGGGUAGCCGGCCUGAGAGGGCGACCGGCCACACUGGGACUGAGACACGGCCCAGACUCCUACGGGAGGCAGCAGUGGGGAAUAUUGCACAAUGGGCGAAAGCCUGAUGCAGCGACGCCGCGUGAGGGAUGACGGCCUUCGGGUUGUAAACCUCUUUCAGCAGGGAAGAAGCGAGAGUGACGGUACCUGCAGAAGAAGCGCCGGCUAACUACGUGCCAGCAGCCGCGGUAAUACGUAGGGCGCAAGCGUUGUCCGGAAUUAUUGGGCGUAAAGAGCUCGUAGGCGGCUUGUCACGUCGGGUGNGAAAGCCCGGGGCUUAACCCCGGGUCUGCAUUCGAUACGGGCUAGCUAGAGUGUGGUAGGGGAGAUCGGAAUUCCU